rnacentral:lncRNA from 1 species
UUUUUUUUUUUUUUUUUUUUUUUUUUUUUGGUUUUUCUAGACAGGGUUUCUCUGUAUAGUCCUGGCUGCCUGCUGUCCUGGAACUCACUCUGUAGACCAGGCUGGCCUCAAAAGAAAAUUUGCCUGCCUCUGCCUCCCGAGUGCGGGGAUCAAAGGCGUGCGCCACCACUGCCCGGCUUUCUCUCUCCUUCUACGUUGGCUGUUACUAAUGAGUCUGCUUCCCUUCCUUAAUUCAAAUCCACGGUGGAAGAGGGAGGCUUCCUAACCAGUGUCAGUCCUGAAGUGUAUGAGUUAUAGGAUGGCUCCACCUCUAGCUCACUUGGGAAUCCGUAGCCCUGUUAGCCCUCAUCUGUCAGGCCUUAUUACAUGUCUUCCCUGGAGCUGGGCUCACUUGGUUGUGGGAGAGUCAGUGAUGUGACAAAACUGGGGACAAAUGUUCCGGACAACAGUUAGAUGGUUUCCUAAAAGCUCUGUAGCAGGAGAGUGGCUUGUGAGUGGUGGAGGAGGUGGAGGAAGCUGUCAGAGCUUUGGAAGCACCAUCACUGCUGAUCUCGGGUAUUGCCGGUGUUGGUGUUGGUAGUGUGUACCUGACUUUUACCCUGGAAAUGACCUCUCGCCUUCAGUGGUUACAGAGAGUUAGUCGACUAACCCCCUCAGGGGAGAGCAUGGGUUCCAGGAGUUGUGUUAUAUCUGAUUUUACUGGCUUUUGUUAUUACUAGUGAGUCCAAACCAAACCUGGCUCAGCAGAAAAUGAGGCUUCCCUUUUGAUCGCCUCUGCACCAGCUGAUCUUCUCACUCAGGGAGGAAGCAGACAGACAUUAGUGUGUCAGUGUGACUGUGUGGGUGUCAGCUAAAAGCACCAAGAGAGGAGAAGCAGACUUGAGCAAGGCACACAUGGAUGCAUAUGCAUGUAGAGGCCUACGGUGGAUGGUGGGAACCAUCUUUGAUUGCUCUUCUACCUCAGGCACUGAGGCAGGGUCUGAUUUGAAUGCUUAUAGUCUAGUCUUAGUAGCCAGCUUGCUCUGGGGACCCCCUACCACAGCUUUGUCUUCUAAGGCUGGUAGAUUUAAUGAAAAGAGUGUAUCAAAUAGUUAUAUUAACCUCCAUAUUUAUUUCCUUGUUUGUUGGUGUUUUCUAGUUUGAGUGGUACUCUAUAUUUCUGAGAAAGGCUUUGCCAAGCUUAGAGUAAAUGGCCAUGUGAUUAGGGCUUAGUGGGCUGAAGAGAAAGUUCAUGGGCUAGGGAGGUAGCUCAGACAUUAAGUUACAAAGGAAAUCUUUCCGUGCUGUUGUGAGGUCCAUAGGAAACCCAGUUGGCAUGUGUAUGUCCUAGUAGUGCAGAAUCAGGCAGGCAAGUCCUUGGAGCUCACUCCAGCCACCCUAGCAUACUUGGUAAGCUGUUUGGAAAAAUCUUGUC